rnacentral:rRNA from 1 species
AGUGAACGCUGGCGGUAGGCCUAACACAUGCAAGUCGAACGGCAGCACAGUAAGAGCUUGCUCUUACGGGUGGCGAGUGGCGGACGGGUGGGGAAUACAUCGGAAUCUACUUUUUCGUGGGGGAUAACGUAGGGAAACUUACGCUAAUACCGCAUACGACCUACGGGUGAAAGCAGGGGAUCUUCGGACCUUGCGCGAUUGAAUGAGCCGAUGUCGGAUUAGCUAGUUGGCGGGGUAAAGGCCCACCAAGGCGACAAUCCGUAGCUGGUCUGAGAGGAUGAUCAGCCACACUGGAACUGAGACACGGUCCAGACUCCUACGGGAGGCAGCAGUGGGGAAUAUUGGACAAUGGGCGCAAGCCUGAUCCAGCCAUACCGCGUGGGUGAAGAAGGCCUUCGGGUUGUAAAGCCCUUUUGUUGGGAAAGAAAAGCAGCAGGUUAAUACCCCGCUGUUCUGACGGUACCCAAAGAAUAAGCACCGGCUAACUUCGUG